ensembl:lncRNA
AUGAUUUUAUUUGUGUCUCAUCACUGGAGUAAGAAAGACCAUGUAAUCAGAAACCAUUGGCGCCGGAAGAGACCCUCCGAAGGUCAUGAGGACCAGACUCUCAUUCCAAGUUUGCUUCUCUUUGGAAAGAUAGUACUGGAUUACGUGAAACAGAAAAAAAUAAAAAGAUAAUUUUUAAGGAAAAAUGUAAGGUAAUGUCAAUGAAUUAUCAAAAAUGAGAUUUACCUUAUAGCUUCUAUAUUUUUAAACAAACAAAAUCGCUUUUCCACAGGUACAAUCGUUAUUUGGAAUUGUCACCAAAUUACACCCUCCAAAAUCAGUGUUAAAUUUUAGAGCUUUGAAACAAUGCAUUUUGUCAUUAUUGCUUUAUUUUUCUCCCAGCAAAAAAAUGACUGACAACAAUUUGAUAUAAGAUUGUGUAUCUGAGAAGAAAUUAAUACCCCAGAUAAAGACAGUAAGAUCUUUUCAAAUGAUUGUUCUUAAUCUCUGGAGGAAACAUGUUGGUUGGAAUUAGUUACAGUUAUUGGGUAUACACAUAAUCGAUAUGAUGCAUAAACAUUUGUUAACUCAUAUUUAGCAGUUAUUCAACUCCUUGAUGACUGGAGAAUUACUAAUUCAUCAUCUGCUGACCCCGCUAGGGCCUGCUGCCACUUGAGUAUUUGUGUUGUUUCCUGGAAUGCACAUGUGUGAAAUACCAUGUGAGCAGGUGGUGGUGGGCUCUGCAACAUUCCAGUGGAGGCAAGAAGGAGUCGUGUGAAGGACACUCCAGGCCCUCCUAAAGGCAUUUUCCCUGCGCUUCUGUGUGCCCGCUCUUGCUGAAUGUGGUCUGGGGAGAAACCACCACUGUUGCUACUGCUGGUGACUUGAAGUCCCAUCAUGCAGGGUUGCAGAACUAAAGAGAUGCACACUAGCAACUCCUACUUUCACACAAAGCCCAGAGUUGCUGCCUUGCCCAACCUUAUGGCCUCAGGGAGUAGUUUACAAGGACUCUAUUACAAAGCACCAUAGACUAAGUGGCUUCAAGAACCGGCAUUUAUUUUCUUGCAGUUCUGGAGGCUUGAAGUCUGAAAUCAAGGUUUCAGCAGAGCCUUCUAAGGCCUGUCUCCUUGCUUAGAGAUGGCUAUCUUCUCCAAGCAUCUUCUCAUAGUCUUCUGUCUGUACCUGCCUAUGUCCUAAUCUUGACACCAAGCAUGGAAUAAAGGCCACCGUAAGGAGCUCAUUUUAACUGCGUUGCCUUUACAGCCACUAUCUCCAGAUGCAGCCACAUUCUGAGGUACUGGUGGGCAGGACUCGAUGCAUGAAUCUGGAGGGAUAAAUUUCGCCUGUAACGGAGAGGCCUGGCACACAGACAGCCACACUGCCAGUUAGGUUCUUUCCAACACACAAGACUAUAUAAAAAUAUAUGUGACGGGGGAGGAGCCAAGAUGGCGGAGGAAUAGGACGGGGAGACCACUUUCUCCUCUACAAAUUCAUCGAAAGAACAAUUGAACGCAGAGAAAACUUCACAAAACAACUUCUGAUCACUAGCUGAGGUCAUCAGGCGCCCAGAAAAGCAGCCCAUCGUCUUCGAAAGGAGGUAGGACAAAAUAUAAAAGAUAAAAAGAGAGACAAAAGAGCUAAGGAUGGAGAUCCGUCCCAGGAAGGGACUCUUAAUAGAGGAAGUUUUCAAACACCAGGAAACCCUCGCACUGGCGGGUCUGGGGGAAGUUUUUGAAUCUCGGAGGGCAACCUGACUGGGAGGGGAACAAUAAAUGAAACUCACAGAUUACGUGCCUAAAAGCAACUCCCAGCAGAAAAGUACCCCAGACGCCCGCAUCCGCCACCAGCAAGUGGGGGAAGAACGGAGAGGAGCGGGCGGCAUUGCUUAGGGUAAGGACUGGGCCUGAGUGCCCUGAGGGCAAUUGGAGGGAGCUUUUGUGAGUUACCAACUUAAACCGUGGGACAGCAAAAGAGAGAGAGAAAAUUAACCAGCCCGAACACACUGCCGGCAGUUCGCAGAACAAAGGGUCUGAGCAAGUCCAGAGAAGAGCUCACAGGCUGUGGACUGGCCCAGCCCCGCCGGAGGCAGGAGGCAGGGGGGAGGGGAAAGGGGCAGGCUCGGGCCCAAGGACUGCAUCCCCUACUGCACUGCAAACAGGCCUCCAGUUUCUAAUCA